UGGGGAAUUUUCCGCAAUGGGCGCAAGCCUGACGGAGCAAGACCGCGUGGGGGAGGAAAGCCUUUGGGUCGUAAACCCCUUUUGUCAGGGAAGAAACCCUUGACGGUACCUGACGAAUCAGCCUCGGCUAACUCCGUGCCAGCAGCCGCGGUAAUACGGAGGAGGCAAGCGUUAUCCGGAAUCAUUGGGCGUAAAGCGUCCGCAGGUGGCCGAGUAAGUCUGCUGUUAAAGACCACGGCUCAACUGUGGGCAGGCAGUGGAAACUGCGCGGCUAGAGUGCGGUAGGGGUAGAGGGAAUUCCCGGUGUAGCGGUGAAAUGCGUAGAGAUCGGGAAGAACACCGGUGGCGAAGGCGCUCUACUGGGCCGCAACUGACACUCACAGGACGAAAGCUAGGGGAGCGAAAGGGAUUAGAUACCCCCGUAGUCC
rnacentral:rRNA from 1 species